UACAGAGGUCUCAAGCGUUGUUCGGAUUCAUUGGGCGUAAAGGGUGCGUAGGCGGCGCGGUAAGUCGGGUGUGAAAUCUCGGAGCUUAACUCCGAAACUGCAUUCGAUACUGCCGUGCUUGAGGACUGGAGAGGAGACUGGAAUUUACGGUGAGCGGUGAAAUGCGUAGAUAUCGUAAGGAAGACCAGUGGCGAAGGCGGGUCUCGUGGACAGUUCCUGACGCUGAGGCACGAAGGUCAGGGGAGCAAACGGG
rnacentral:rRNA from 1 species